GGCGGGUGGGAGCCGGCCUGGAACCGCCUGCCCGCGCCCCCUGGCGGCCGCGGGGGCGGGCGGGGCUCUCGUGGGCCAUGGCAGCGGUACGGGCGUGUUUCGUGGGCAGUGGCAGCGGAACGAGGGAAGCCCCUCACAGCCGCCCAUUAGGGGUGGUCUCGUGGCGGGCGGAGCGUCCGCCCGCUCACCUGUGGAGAAGGCGGCUGGUUAAAGCUUAACCCGAGCGGGCUGAGCAGGCGUUUUAGGACAGUCGUCGCAGCUCGCCUGACUCGUCUUGCAGGGAGUGCUCAGGGUCUGGAAGCGGCCGCUGCCCGACGAGGCAGGCUCGGCGCUGCGGCUGCUGUGGAGAGUCCUCGGCCUCCUCCCCAUGUCCGGCGUGUCUCCAAACGGGUCAGGAGCCUGGGCAGCGCCGGGGCUGGCAGCGGCCCCUGCACAGCAGCCGUGCCCCAGCGGCCCACCACGGAACAGGUCACCACCUGCUCGAGGGAGGCCCACAGUCCUCCCUGCCUUGUUGGCCUUUGCUGAAAUUGAAGUGUCUCUUGGCUCCAAGCCAUGUGAAAGCUUUGAAGCAUGUGGGUUAUGGGCACCGGGUUUGGCCACCCCUUUAGUCGACAGUGUAAGAAACAGCACUCGGUUCAGCACCGCAAGCUGUUCCUCCUACACCAGUCAGAUCAUGUCCAGCGCUCACACCGGUGUGUGGUGUAUAUAAAACCUCACGGAAAUUAAGAGGUCCUUCUACUGAGAGUCGUAAAAGAAAAAUACAAAUGAGUAAGAUCUGCAAUUUUUCUAAAGGAAUAUGGACAGAACCUUUAAAGAUUCAGUGGCGCUCAGUACGUCAAAACACUUGAGCAGCUGUAAGAUCAGAACUCAAAGGCCGAGCAAGGAUGCAGCCACCUAGGAGGCUGAUUAAGGCUUUCUAGGUUUGACUGAGAAGGGAACAGAACAAGGACACCUGAGAAAGAUGCUGAUUUCAGCCUGUUUAAACUGUUUCAUUGAUGUAAGUCCUCUGUUUCCGCAAGUACAUGAAACACUGGUCCAAAGAAAGAUUUUAAUCCAUACCCUAUUUUGAAAGGUCAAGUAGCAACAGCAAUGAACACAUGACAGCCAAAAAAAUUAAAAGGCAACACAGGUACCUGUUCGAAAGUACUCUUUUCAUCAUUUCAACACUCACCUUCUCCUAAUUUUCUCCAUCUCCUUAUGACAUUGGGUGAACUUUGUCUCACAAAAAUAUAAGAAAAAGAUUAUGCACCAAAUUAUUCAGCUGACUCCCAAUUCUGACACUCUGCAAGGAAAGUGGUAUGUAGAUGCUAUCUUUACAGGGUGAACUUUACCUUGCCUUUCACCACCCAAUUUCAAAUAAAAUAUAUUUAUAACAUUUCUGUUAAUGUUGCCCUUUUCAGCUUGUUGCAUUUUUUUAUAUCUUUGAACUUGUUACAGUUUCCUAGAAUUUAUAGUUCCAGAAUAAUUUAGAUCAUUAGGAAAACUAAAUUGUUAGUGUUACUUUAAGUGCAUCCUUAUCAAUGAGAAACACAGCUCAGCGCUGAACUGUCAUAUCCAGCUUAACAGCAGUAGUGUACAUCAAAAGUUAGCCUGCUCUAUGUUAUUAAAAGUUUCUGGGGGAGUAAGAAGUCACAGUUCCUUGGGAUAUUUAUAGUAUUUAAGAAUACUUUUAAGUAACUUGUAAUGGCAGAUGCCAUAGGGUACUCCGUCGUAAGUGGUUUUCCUAUUCAUAACAAGUAAUGCAUAUUAUGGCGCGUUUCAAGCCAGGCCCACAGUAAACUUUGUAGAAAAAAAUAAAUUCCAUUUGGAUCUUGUU